rnacentral:rRNA from 1 species
UACGUAGGGUGCAAGCGUUGUCCGGAAUUACUGGGCGUAAAGCGCACGUAGGCGGCGCAGCAAGUCAGGGGUGAAAUCCCGGAGCUCAACUCCGGAACUGCCUUUGAAACUGCAGUGCUAGAAUCUUGGAGAGGCGAGUGGAAUUCCGAGUGUAGAGGUGAAAUUCGUAGAUAUUCGGAAGAACACCAGUGGCGAAGGCGACUCGCUGGACAAGUAUUGACGCUGAGGUGCGAAAGCGUGGGGAGCAAACAGG